GAUGAACGCUGGCGGCGUGCCUAAUACAUGCAAGUCGAGCGAACAGACGAGGAGCUUGCUCCUCUGACGUUAGCGGCGGACGGGUGAGUAACACGUGGAUAACCUACCUAUAAGACUUGGAUAACUUCGGGAAACCGGAGCUAAUACCGGAUAAUAUAUUGAACCGCAUGGUUCAAUAGUGAAAGACGGUUUUGCUGUCACUUAUAGAUGGCUCCGCGCCGCAUUAGCUAGUUGGUAAGGUAACGGCUUACCAAGGCAACGAUGCGUAGCCGACCUGAGGGGGGGAUAGGGCAAACUGGAACAGAGACAAGGUGCAGAGUCCUACGGGAGGCCGGAGGAGGGAAUCGUGCGCAAUGGGGGAAAGCCUGAAGGAGAGACGCCGCGUGGGUGAUGGAGGUCUUGGGGUCGUAAAAUUGUGAUAUUAGGGAAGAAGAAAUGUGGAAGUAACUAUGGACGUCUUGACGGUACCUAGUAAAAAAGCCCCGGCUAACUACGGG
rnacentral:rRNA from 1 species